UUCCAAUCCCCCCCCCCCUCUCAUCCACACACACACACACAGUAUUAUCAUUGCAGUUGUGUGCGAGUGAUUGCGGUGAAAGUGCCUGUGUUUGUUGUGGCACCUUGUGUGUUUUUUUUAUUUCUGUGUUUUUUUUCUUCAAUUGUGUGUGUGCCCGCGUCACUUACGCAACCUGUGGAAGAAGAAAAAGGAAUCCACUUGGUGACUUGGCUAUAAAAAAGGCGGCCGUAAAAAACGAAGGGGGGAUAGUAUGGGUAGGUAAACCCACUGUUAAUUGAGGUGGAGUUGAAUUACGUGAAAGAUGAACAACAAAGAGACAAGUGAAGUGGAGGAGCUCCUGCGAAAAGAAAACGAUUUUGAGGUUGCUCCAAUCUGGGAAAUUUAGCUAUCCAAGAUGGCAACCUCGAACCACUCUUAUUUUCAAAUUCAUUUUUAGGUACGUUAUGUUAUAAAAAAAAGUCUGACGAGUAAUGCAAUGCUACAUUUGCAUACGGGAUCCUCGGAAGACAAGAAAUGGAGGAUCACCGAGUUUCCGAACAUACUCUAUCAGUGCACCUAUCCAGCUGAGUGGUGCUACUUUUCCUCAGAUAGGAAGUCCAAUAUGGGUCGCCAUUACACGAUCGGCUCCUCUUGCUCCUCUGGUCUAAGUUAAGAACCAAGAAAGGGUAUUAUAUAAUUUGUUGGAUACAAUUAGGAAUUUAGACUUGACAGCUU